rnacentral:rRNA from 1 species
GAUGAACGCUGGCGGCGUGCCUAAUACAUGCAAGUCGAGCGAACAGACGAGGAGCUUGCUCCUCUGACGUUAGCGGCGCACGGGUGUGUCACACGUGGAUCCCCUACCUAUAAGAGUGGGAUCACUUCGGGACACCGGCGCUAAUACCGGAUAAUAUAUUGAACCGCAUGGUUCAAUAGUGAAAGUCGGUUUUUCGGGAACUUAUAGCUGGAUACGGGCGGGAUUAGCUAGUUGGUGAGGUAACAGGUUACCAAGGCAACGAUGCGUAGCCGAGGUGAGAGGGUGAUCGGCGACACUGGAACGGAGACACGCACCAUACUCCUGCGGUAGGCAGCAGUAGGGAAUCGUCCGCAAUGGGGGAAAGCAUGACGGAGCGACGCGGCGUGAGUGAUGAAGGUGUUGGGAGCGUAAAACUCUGUUAUUAGUGGAGAACAAAUGUGUAAGUAACUGUGCACGUCGUGACGGUACCUAAUCAGAAAGCCACGGCUAACUACGUG